GACGAACGCUGGCGGCGUGCUUAACACAUGCAAGUCGAGCGGUAAGGCUCCUUCGGGAGUACACGAGCGGCGAACGGGUGAGUAACACGUGAGUAACCUGCCCCUUUCAUCGGAAUAACCAGUGGAAACGCUGGCUAAUGCCGAAUACGACCACCGAAGGCAUCUUCUGGUGGUGGAAAGCUCCGGCGGAAAGGGAUGGACUCGCGGCCUAUCAGCUUGUUGGUGAGGUAAUGGCUCACCAAGGCAACGACGGGUAGCCGGCCUGAGAGGGUGACCGGCCACACUGGGACUGAGACACGGCCCAGACUCCUACGGGAGGCAGCAGUGGGGAAUAUUGGACAAUGGGCGAAAGCCUGAUCCAGCAACGCCGCGUGAGGGAUGACGGCCUUCGGUUGUAACCUCUUUCAGUAGGACGAAGCGAAAGUGACGGUACUACAGAAGAAGGACGGCCAACUACGUGCCAGCAGCCGCGGUAAAAGUACGUACUAAU
rnacentral:rRNA from 1 species